ACGAACGUUGGCGGCGUGGAUUAGGCAUGCAAGUCGAACGAAUCCCUGGGGGCUUGCUCCCAGGGGGAAGUGGCGAAAGGGGCAGUAAGGCGUGGGUAACCUACCCCGGGGACCGGGAUAGCCCUCCUAACGGAGGGGUAAUACCGGGCGAUGCCAGCCGAGGGCAUCUUUGGCUGGUGAAAUGAAUUUCGCCUCGGGAGGGGCUCACGUGCUAUUACCUGGUUGGCGGGGUAACGGCCCACCAAGGGAAAGAUGGCUAGCCGGCGUGAGAGCGCGACCGGCGCCACUGGCACUGCGACACUGGCCAGACUCCUACGGGAGGCUGCAGUCGAGGAUCUUCGGCAAUGGGCGCAAGCCUGACCGAGCGACGCCGCGUGUGCGAUGAAGGCCUUCGGGUUGUAAAGCACUGUCGAGGGGGAGGAAAGGGCAACCCUGACCUAUCCCUGGAGGAAGCACGGGCUAAGUUCGU
rnacentral:rRNA from 1 species